rnacentral:tRNA from 1 species
GGAUUGUGGCUCAGUGGCAGAACGCUUGCCUCGUAUGUAUGAGGUACUGGGUUCCAUUCUCAGCACCA